rnacentral:rRNA from 1 species
GUAGGGAAUCUUCCACAAUGGACGCAAGUCUGAUGGAGCAACGCCGCGUGAGUGAAGAAGGCUUUCGGGUCGUAAAACUCUGUUAUUGAAGAAGAACGUGUGUGACAGUAACUGGUCAUGCAGUGACGGUAUUCAAUCAGAAAGUCACGGCUAACUACGUGCCAGCAGCCGCGGUAAUACGUAGGUGGCAAGCGUUGUCCGGAUUUAUUGGGCGUAAAGCGAGUGCAGGCGGUCUUUUAAGUCUGAUGUGAAAGCCUUCGGCUUAACCGAAGAAGGGCAUCGGAAACUGGGAUGACUUGAGUGCAGAAGAGGAGAGUGGAACUCCAUGUGUAGCGGUGAAAUGCGUAGAUAUAUGGAAGAACACCAGUGGCGAAGGCGGCUCUCUGGUCUGUAACUGACGCUGAGGCU